ensembl:lncRNA
GGAAGCACACUGCGGCGAUUCUGGAGCGGUUGUGCUUUUCUGGCUUCAGCGUUGCGGCUCAAGGCACAGUUGGUCAUGUGCCUGCUGUCCAUUGCCGCUAAGGCCUGCUGCUGCCAUUCAGGCGUCUCUCUCUCUCUCUUUCAUGCCGCUCUCUCCACCCCAUCUUGGGACGGCCGGCUCUAAGAAUUCCUGCUACGACACUGAAUUCAACCAGGAGGUGAUGCCACAUGCAAUCAGAAACUAUGCCACUGGUGAAGAGGUAUAUUGAGCCCUGCCUGGUUAACCUCCAGUGAGGUUAUCAGAGAAUUGGGAGAGGCUCAAACCAGCAUCCUGCACCUAGUUAUCAAACCAUUGUGAAGUCUUGAUUCCUGGAUGGCCAGAAAACUUCUCAUUGGUCAAGAGCAACAUUAACAUCUGCCUGUUACUCAUACUGAUGCUUCCUGCCCAGCAAGUUCAUCAGAGGAAGAGGAUGAAUUACGGUUGCCAUGGAUGUCCUUGUGAGGCAGUUGGGAAGCCUUGGCUGGAUUGUGAAGGAUAUUUGAAAAGUAUUUUAGAGUCCACCAGAUCCUCCAUGUGAAUGACCAUGCAGCAAAAGAAGGAGGGUCCUGUCAGUGAUUAAGGUAACAUAGUGAUGAAGGUAAGUAGGGGAAGAGAGGCUUACUUUGCCCUGAUUCUUGUCAGGGAGGCUCUUAGAACUGCCAUUUCCAGAGCAUAAGUGACAGGCCAGCACUUUCAAAGCCUGCAACUUAUUCUAUAAUAUAUCCUUCUUAAAACAAUUCAUGUAGAUUAUAUGCUUACCCAGUCUGUGAUCACUCCUGCAGAUCAGAAGAACUGAAAUAUAGGUGACAUAGGCUCUUGCUUUUGUAAAUAUUUUGUUGAAACACAGUUGUGUUCAUUCAUUAUUGUCGAUGGCAGCUUUCAUGCUACAGCAGAGAUGAGUAGUUGGGAGAGAAACCAUAUGGACCAUGGAGUUUGAAAUAUUACUGUCUGGCCCUUCACAGAAAGUUUGCCAAUUCGUGGCAUAGAUUAAAUAAAUGUACUAUGUCUACAAAUCCUCCUCUCCCCAUUUUCCUUUCAAUGGGACUUGCAUUUACAGUUGAUCCUAGAACAUAUGGAAUCUCAUAGUAAUCAGCUUGCUUCUGAAUUUCUUCCCACUCAAAUUAAGCUCACCUAGAAAGCACAUUCACAAAUUGGGCUACAUAUACAGAAGGAACUAUGUUUUAUAUGCCUCAUCGUAGUCAACUCAUUUAUCCUAUAUGUAUGGUUCCCCCAUUUUUUCUUCUUUUCAGGGGUGACUUUUAAACUUGAGCCAUUCAUGAGUAUCCAAAAAGUUACAACUUAUGUUUUCUAAUUAAGACUUUAUCCUUAUUUUAGUAUACUUACCCUCCCUGGCUUUUUUGCAUAUUUCUGCAGAUGUCUUGACCUUUCUGGGGAAUAAGCCCCCUUAGAAGAUUAAUUUUCUGUAGUUCUCUAUUGAGGAAAUACAUGACAUUUAGCUUUUUAAUAAUUUGAUGCCAUUCAUUGAGCACCUACUGUGUGCUUUAUGUACCCUGUCUCAUUGAAUUUUUACAGAAAACUGGAAGAGUUAGUUUUGUGUUAUUACUACCUCCAUCUCAAAGAUGAGUCUUGGAAAGUUUAAGUAACUUUAGGUUACAUUGUAAUCACCUGGGUAACAUAGCAAGACCCUGUCUCUACAAAAAAAUUAAAAAGUAGGGGGCAUGAUGGUGUUCACGCCUGUAAUCCCAGCAUUUGGGGAGGCCAAGGCGGGUGAAUCAUGAGGUCAAGAGAUCAAGACCAUCCUGGCCAACAUGGUGAAACCUCGUCUGUACUAAUACUACAAAAAUUAGCCGGGCGUGGUAGCAGGCACCUGUAGUCCCAGCUAUGGGAGGCUGAGGCAGGAGAAUCAUGUGAACCUGGGAGACGGAGGUUGCAGAGAGCUGAGAUCGCACCACUGUACUCCAGCCUGGUGACAGAGCAAGACUCUGUCUCAAAAAAAAAAGAAACAUCCAGAUGUCCUCUUACUGGAAGGGCAUCAUAGUUUAUCCUGCACCUGACACUAAUAUACCUACUCUGGGAAUUCUUCUACCUACAACUAUUUAUCUGAUCCCAUCAGGUAUUAAAGUUCUAAAAGUUAACAGAAUUCUUAAAGGUUCCCAAUCCCUCCCAGAAACCCCAUCAUCUCAAAGUCACUAGCUAUUAAAAGAAGCAAAAAAAAAAAAAAAAA